rnacentral:tRNA from 1 species
GGCACUUUGGCCGAGUGGUCUAAGGCGCCGUGUUCAGGUUAAUCGAUCCGUUCGGUUGGACUUAUUCGCGGUCUAGUAAUAGGCGAGGGUUCGAAUCCCUCAGGUGUCA